rnacentral:tRNA from 1 species
UUACAAAAUAUAAUUUUAUUUUUACAGUGAAAAUGUAAGGUUUUUUUUAAACUAUGAAAAU